AACGAACGCUGGCGGCAUGCCUAACACAUGCAAGUCGAACGAGACCUUCGGGUCUAGUGGCGCACGGUGCGUAACGCGUGGGAACCUGCCCUUAGGUUCGGAAUAACUCCCCGAAAGGGGUGCUAAUACCGGAUAAUGUCUUCGGACCAAAGAUUUAUCGCCUUUGGAUGGGCCCGCGUUGGAUUAGCUAGUUGGUAGGGUAAAAGCCUACCAAGGCGACGAUCCAUAGCCGAUCUGAGAGGAUGAUCAGCCACACUGGCACUGAGACACGGCCCAGACUCCUACGGGAGGACGCAGUAGGAAAUCUUCCGCAAUGGGAGAAAGCGUGUCGGAGAAACGCCGCGUGAGUGAUGAAGGUCUUCGGAUCGGAAAACUCUGGUAUGAGGGAAGAACAAAUGUGUAAGUAACUAUGCACGUCUUGACGGUAAAUAAUCAGAAAGCCACGGCUAACUACGUG
rnacentral:rRNA from 1 species